AACGAACGCUGGCGGCAUGCCUAACACAUGCAAGUCGAACGAGACCUUCGGGUCUAGUGGCGCACGGGUGCGUAACGCGUGGGAACCUGCCCUUAGGUUCGGAAUAACUCCCCGAAAGGGGUGCUAAUAACGGAUAAUGUCUUCGGACCAAAGAUUUAUCGCCUUUGGAUGGGCCCGCGUUGGAUUAGCUAGUUGGUAGGGUAAAAGCCUACCAAGGCGACGAUCCAUAGCUGGUCUGAGAGGAUGAUCAGCCACACUGGGACUAAGACACGGCCCAGACUCCUACGCAAGGCAGCAGUGGGGAAUAUUGGACAAUGGGCGAAAGCCUGAUCCAGCAAUGCCGCGUGAGUGAUGAAGGCCUUAGGGUUGUAAAGCUCUUUUACCCGGGAUGAUAAUGACAGUACCGGGAGAAUAAGCUCCGGCUAACUCCGUG
rnacentral:rRNA from 1 species